rnacentral:lncRNA from 1 species
CGGGUGGAUUACGAGGUCAAGAGAUCGAGACCAUCCUGGUCAACAUGGUGAAACCCCAUCUCUACUAAAAAUACAAAAAAUUAGCUGGGCAUGGUGGCACGAGCCUGUAAUCCCAGCUACUCAGGAGGCUGAGGCAGGAGAAUUGCCUGAACCCAGGAGGCGGAGGUUGUGGUGAGCCGAGAUCGCGCCAUUGCACUCCAGCCUGGGUAACAAGAGCGAAACUCCGUCUCAAAAAAAAAAAAAAAAAAAAAAAAACAAAAGGAACCCUCUAUAGCCUGCCUUUGUCUACUUCUCCAUUUCCUGCCUCUCUUCUUCUUGCUCAUUCUAUUGCAGACAUACUAGCUUUCUUCUGUCCUUUUAACUUGCCGUGUU